AGAGUUUGAUCCUGGCUCAGAACGAACGCUGGCGGCAUGCCUAACACAUGCAAGUCGAACGAGACCUUCGGGUCUAGUGGCGCACGGGUGCGUAACGCGUGGGAAUCUGCCCUUGGGUUCGGAAUAACAGUUAGAAAUGACUGCUAAUACCGGAUAAUGUCUUCGGACCAAAGAUUUAUCGCCCAGGGAUGAGCCCGCGUAGGAUUAGCUAGUUGGUGAGGUAAAGGCUCACCAAGGCGACGAUCCUUAGCUGGUCUGAGAGGAUGAUCAGCCACACUGGGACUGAGACACGGCCCAGACUCCUACGGGAGGCAGCAGUGGGGAAUAUUGGACAAUGGGCGAAAGCCUGAUCCAGCAAUGCCGCGUGAGUGAUGAAGGCCUUAGGGUUGUAAAGCUCUUUACCCGGGAUGAUAAUGACAGUACCGGGAGAAUAAGCCCCGGCUAACUCCGUG
rnacentral:rRNA from 1 species